AGUGAACGCUGGCGGUAGGCCUAACACAUGCAAGUCGAACGGCAGCACAGUAAGAGCUUGCUCUUACGGGUGGCGAGUGGCGGACGGGUGAGGAAUACAUCGGAAUCUACUUUUUCGUGGGGGAUAACGUAGGGAAACUUACGCUAAUACCGCAUACGACCUACGGGUGAAAGCAGGGGAUCUUCGGACCUUGCGCGAUUGAAUGAGCCGAUGUCGGAUUAGCUAGUUGGCGGGGUAAAGGCCCACCAAGGCGACGAUCCGUAGCUGGUCUGAGAGGAGGAUCAGCCACACGGGAACUGAGACACGGUCCAGACUCCUACGGGAGGCAGCAGUGGGGAAUAUUGGACAAUAGGCGCAAGCCUGAUCCAGCCAUACCGCGUGGGUGAAAAAGGCCUUCGGGUUGUAAAGCCCUUUUGUUGGGAAAGAAAAGCAGCAGGUUAAUACCCCGCUGUUCUGACGGUACCCAAAGAAUAAGCACCGGCUAACUUCGUG
rnacentral:rRNA from 1 species